rnacentral:sRNA from 1 species
GCCGGGUGUGGUGGCACGUGCCUGUAAUCCCAGCUACUCGGGAGGCUGAGGCAGGAGAAUUGCUUGAACCCGGGAGGCAGAGGUUGCAGUGAGCCGAGAUCAUGCCACUGCACUCCAGCCUGGGUGACAGAGCGAGAUUCCGUCUCUC